UACUCCGGUAAUCACAGGACUAUAGGGAGACCGCUGGCGCGAAGUCAGAGGAAGGCGAGGGCAACGGUAGGUCAGUAUGCUCCGAAUGCUCUGGGCUACACGCGCAAUACAAAGGACGGGACAAUGGGCCGCUGUACCGAAAGGACUCGGCUAUCCCGAAACCCGUUCGUAGUUCGGAUUGAGGGCUGUAACUCGCCCUCAUGAAGCUGGAUUAGGUAGUAAUCGCGUCUCAAAAAGGCGCGGUGAAUAUGCCCCUGCUCCUUGCACACACCGCCCGUCAAACCAUCUUAGUUGGGGGUGGGUGAGGCUGCCUUUUAGUGGGGUAUUCGAGCCUGCCUUCGACAAGGAGGGUUAAGUCGUAACAAGGUAUCUGUAGGGGAACCUGCAGAUGGAUCACCUCCU
rnacentral:rRNA from 1 species